GGAGAACGCUUCACCCUACGGUAAAGGAUUUCACCUACUACUCUGCUCUCCACAACCGCUAUUCUCGCAUAGAUUACCUCUUCAUUGCACAGAAAGGUAUCUCCCACCUACUUAAAGCCGAGAUCGCACCGGCCACAUGGUCAGACCACGGUUCGGUCGAAAUGGAAUUGGACUCUCCCUUGUUCGGACCGGUGGCCUGGACCUGGAGAUAAAAUGAGGCGCUGUUACUAGAUCCUG